rnacentral:rRNA from 1 species
AUUGAACGCUGGCGGCAGGCCUAACACAUGCAAGUCGAACGAGUGGCGGACGGGUGAGUAAUGUAUGGGAAACUGCCUGAUGGAGGGGGAUAACUACUGGAAACGGUAGCUAAUACCGCAUACCAUCGGAUGUGCCCAGAUGGGAUUAGCUAGUAGGUGGGGUAACGGCUCACCUAGGCGACGGUCCCUAGCUGGUCUGAGAGGAUGACCAGCCAAACGGGAACUGAGACACGUUCCAGACUCCUACGGGAGGCAGCAGUGGGGAAUAUUGCACAAUGGGAGCAAGCCUGAUGCAGCCAUGCCGCGUGUAUGAAGAAGGCUUUCGGGUUGUAAAGUACGUUAAGUUGGUAGGCGUUACCAACAGAAUAAGCACCGGCUAACUUCGUGCCAGCAGCCGCGGUAAUUC